rnacentral:rRNA from 1 species
GACGAACGCUGGCGGCGUGCUUAACACAUGCAAGUCGAGCGAUGAAAGCCUUAUGAACUAUUCGUAGUGAUUGGGGCCGGAUUAGCGGCGGACGGGUGAGUAACGCGUGAGCAACCUGCCUUAAACAACGGGAUAGCCUCGGGAAACCGGGAUUAAUACCGUAUGAGACCCCGCCUUCACAUGAAGAAGAGGUUAAAGAUUUAUCGGUUUAAGAUGGGCUCGCGUCUGAUUAGCUAGUUGGUGAGAUAAAAGCCCACCAAGGCAACGAUCAGUAACCGGCUUGAGAGGGAGAACGGUCACAUUGGGACUGAGACACGGUCCAAACUCCUACGGGAGGCAGCAGUGGGGAAUAUUGCACAAUGGGGGAAACCCUGAUGCAGCGACGCCGCGUGAGCGAUGAAGGAAUUCGUUUCGUAAAGCUCUGUCCAAGGGGAAGAUAAUGACAGUACCCUUGGAGGAAGCCCCGGCUAAAUACGUGCCAGCCGCCGCAGUAAUAC